rnacentral:rRNA from 1 species
GACGAACGCUGGCGGCGUGCUUAACACAUGCAAGUCGAACGGUGAAGCGCCUUCCUUUUUGGUGGGUGUGGAUGAGUGGCGAACGGGUGAGUAACACGUGAGUAACCUGCCCCCUUCUUCUGGAUAACCGCAUGAAAGUGUGGCUAAUACGGGAUAUUCUGGGUCUGUCGCAUGAUGGGUCUGGGAAAGAUAUUGUUUCGGUGGGGGAUGGGCUCGCGGCCUAUCAGCUUGUUGGUGGGGUGAUGGCCUACCAAGGCGGUGACGGGUAGCCGGCCUGAGAGGGUGGACGGUCACACUGGGACUGAGACACGGCCCAGACUCCUACGGGAGGCAGCAGUGGGGAAUAGUGCACAAUGGGCGCAAGCCUGAUGCAGCGACGCCGCGUGAGGGAUGGAGGCCUUCGGGUUGUGAACCUCUUUCGCAAGUGAAGCAGGCCUGCCUCGUUUGUGGGUGGGUUGACGGUAGCUGGAUAAGAAGCGCCGGCUAACUACGUG